UACGUAGGGUGCGAGCGUUUGUCCGGAAUUAUUGGGCGUAAAGGGCUCGUAGGCGGUUUGUCGCGUCGAAUGUGAAAACCCGGGGCUCAACCCCGGGCCUGCAUUCGAUACGGGCAGACUAGAGUUCGGUAGGGGAGUCUGGAAUUCCUGGUGUAGCGGUGAAAUGCGCAGAUAUCAGGAGGAACACCGGUGGCGAAGGCGGGACUCUGGGCCGAUACUGACGCUGAGGAGCGAAAGCGUGGGGAGCGAACAGG
rnacentral:rRNA from 1 species